rnacentral:rRNA from 1 species
GACGAACGCUGGCGGCGUGCUUAACACAUGCAAGUCGAACGAUGAAGCUAGAGCUUGCUCUGGUGGAUUAGUGGCGAACGGGUGAGUAACACGUGAGUAACCUGCCCCGAACUCUGGGAUAACUGCUGGAAACGGUAGCUAAUACCGGAUAUGACCAAUGAAGGCAUCUUCUGUUGGUGGAAAGAAUUUCGGUUCGGGAUGGACUCGCGGCCUAUCAGCUUGUUGGUGAGGUAACGGCUCACCAAGGCGACGACGGGUAGUCGGCCUGAGAGGGUGAUCGGCCACACUGGGACUGAGACACGGCCCAGACUCCUACGGGAGGCAGCAGUGGGGAAUAUUGCACAAUGGGCGCAAGCCUGAUGCAGCAACGCCGCGUGAGGGACGACGGCCUUCGGGUUGUAAAGCUCUUUUGUCAGGGAAGAAACACCGGCUCUAACACAGUCCGGGAAUGACGGUACCUGAAGAAUAAGCACCGGCUAAC